rnacentral:tRNA from 1 species
CGGCUCUGUAGCUCAGUGGUUAGAGUAGGGGACUCAUAAGCCCUUGGUCGCAGGUUCAAGUCCAGCCAGAGUCAUUUU